rnacentral:lncRNA from 1 species
UUUAAUAUUUGAUUUGACUUUAUCUAAGAUAGUGUUUUUACCCUUGGGUUUACCUCCAUCCUUGGGUGAACUUGCACCGCUAGGUGAACUGCCACCGCUAGGUGAACUGCCACCGCUAGGUGAACUUCCACUCAUUGGUGAGCUUCCACCACUAGAUGGACUACUCUUUCCUUUAAAUUUACUUUUAAUCUUGGAUUUAACUUUAUCUAGAAUAGUGCUUUUACCCUUGUGUUUACCUGCAUUUUUGGGUGAACUCGCACCGCUCGAUGAAUUUCCACUGACAGGUGAACUUCCACCGCUUGGUGAACCUUCACUCAUUUGUGAGCUUCCGCGACCGGAUGAACUACUCUUACCUUUUAGUUUACUUUUAAUCUUUGAUUUAACUUUAUCUAUGAUACUUUUUUUACCCUUGUGUUUACUUAUGUCCUUAGGUGAACUUGCAUUGCUCGAUGAAUUUUCACUACCAGGUGAAUUUCCACCGCUUGGUGAACUUCCACCACCAGAUGAACCUCUCUUAUCUUUUAGUUUACUUUUAAUCUUUGAUUUUACUUUACCAAGAAUAGUGCUUUUACCCUUGUUUUUACUUUCAUUUUUGGGUGUACUUCCACCGGUAGGUGAACUUCCACUGCUAGCUGAACUUCCACUGCUUGCAGAACUUUUACUCAUUGGUGAGUUUCCUUCAUCGGACGAACCACUCUUACCUUUCAAUUUACUUUUAAUCUUUGAUUUAACUUUAUCUAAGAUAGUGUUUUUACCUUUGGGUUUACCUCCAUCCUUGGAUGAACUUUCACCGCUAGAUAAAUUUUCAUGGCCAUGUGAACUGCCACCACUAGGUGAACCUCCACUCAUUGGUGAGCUUCCACCAUCGGAUGAACUGCUCUUACCUUUCAAUGUACUUUUAAUCUUUGCUUUAACUUUAUCUAAGAUAGUGAUUUUAACCUUGGGUUUACCUCCAACCUUGGGUGAACUUGCACCGCUAGAUGAAUUUCUAUGGCCAGGUGAACUGUCACCGCUAGGGGAACCUCCACUUAUUGGUGAGUUUCCACCACUAGAUGGAACACUCGUUCCUUUAAAUUUUCUUUUAAUCUUGGAUUUAAGUUUAUCUACAAUAGUGUUUUUACCCUUAUGUUUAUCUGCAUUUUUGGGUGAACUCGCACCGCUCGAUGAAUUUCCACUGGCAGGUGAAUUUCCACCGCUUGGUGAACCUUCACUCAUUUGUGAGCUUCCGCUACCGGAUGAACUACUCUUACCUUUUACUUUAUUUUUAAUCUUUGAUUUAACUUUAUCUAUGAUACUUUUUUUACCCUUGUGUUUACUUAUGUCUUUAGGUGAACUUGCAUUGCUCGAUGAAUUUCCACUACCAGGUGAAUUUUCACCGCUUGGUGAACUUCCACCACCAGAUGAAUCACUCUUAUCUUUUAGUUUACUUUUAAUUUUGGAUUUUACUUUAUCGAGAAUAGUGCUUUUACGCUUGUGUUUACUUUCAUUUUUGGGUGUACUUCCACCACCAAGUGAACUUCCACCGCUUGGAGAACUUUCACUCAUUGGUGAGCUUCCACCAUCGGAUGAACCGCUGGAUUUAAUUUUAUCCAUUAAUUUAUUUGUAUCCAUGUGUUCAUUCUUAUGUCUGAGUGAGCUUUUUCUACCUGAUGAACUUCCAUUAUAGGUGAAUUUCAAUCACUGAAUGAACUCAUAGAUGAUUCUCCAUAUGAUCUUGGUGAACCUUCACUCAUUUGUGAGCUUCCGCCACCGGAUGAACUAUUCAUACCUUUCAAUUUACCUUUAAUCUUUGAUUUAACUUUAUCAAAGAUAGUGUUUUUACUCUUGGGUUUAUCUACAUCCUUUGGUGAACUUGCACCGCUAGAUAAAUUUUCUUGGCCAGGUGAACUGCCACCGCUUGGUGAACCUCCACCCAUUGGUGAGCUUCCACCACUAGAUGGACUACUCUUUCCUUUCAAUUUACUUUUAAUCUUGGAUUUAAGUUUAUCUACAAUAGUGCUUUUACCCUUGUGUUUACCUGUAUUUUUGGGUGAACUCGCACCGCUCGAUGAAUUUCCACUAACAGGUGAACUUCCACCGCUUGGUGAACCUUCACUCAUUUGUGAGCUUCCGCCACCGGAUGAACUAUUCUUACCUUUCAGUUUACCUUUAAUCUUUGAUUUAACUUUAUCUAUGAUACUUUUUUUACCCUUAUGUUUACUUAUGUCCUUAGAUGAACUUGCAUUGCUCGAUGAAUUUUCACUACCAGGUGAAUUUCCACCGCUUGGUGAACUUCCACCACCAGAUGAACCGCUCUUACCUUUCAGUUUACUUUUAAUCUUUGAUUUAACUUUAUCUAAGAUAGUGCUUUUAUCCUUGGGUUUACCUCCAUUCAUGGGUGAACUCUCACCGCUAGAUAAAUUUCCAUGGCCAGGUGAACUGCCACCGCUAGGUGAACCUCCACUAAUCGGUGAGCUUCCACCAUCGGAUGAAUUGCUCUUACCUUUAAAUUUACUUUUAAUCUUUGAUUUAACUUUAUCUAAGAUAGUGCUUUUACUCUUGAGUUUACCUCCAUCCUUGGGUGAACUUGCACCGCUAGAUAAAUUUCCUUGGCCAGGUGAACUGCCACCGCUUGGUGAACCUCCACCCAUUGGUGAGCUUCCACCACUAGAUGAACUACUCUUUCCUUUCAAUUUACUUUUAAUCUUGGAUUUAAGUUUAUCUACAAUAGUGCUUUUACCCUUGUGUUUACCUGCAUUUUUGGGUGAACUCGCACCGUUUGAUGAAUUUUCACUGACAGGUGAACUUCCACCGCUUGGUGAACCUUCACUCAUUUGUGAGCUUCCGCCACCGGAUGAACUAUUCUUACCUUUUAGUUUACCUUUAAUCUUUGAUUUAACUUUAUCUAUGAUACUUUUUUUACCCUUAUGUUUACUUAUGUCCUUAGAUGAACUUGCAUUGCUCGAUGAAUUUUCACUACCAGGUGAAUUUCCACCGCUUGGUGAACUUUCACCACCAGAUGAACCGCUCUUAUCUUUUAGUUUACUUUUAAUUUUGGAUUUUACUUUAUCAAGUAUAGUGCUUUUUCCCUUGUGUUUACGUUUAUUUUUGGGUGCACUUCCACCGCCAGGUGAACUUCCACUGCUAGUUGAACUUCCAGCGCUUGGUGAACUUUCACUCAUUGGUGAGCUUCCACCAUCGGGUGAAGCGCUUUUACCUUUCAAUUUACUUUUAAUCUUUGAUUUAACUUUAUCUAAGAUAAUGCUUUUACCCUUGGGUUUACCUCCAUUCUUGGGUGAAUUUUCACCGCUAGAUGAAUUUCCAUGGCCAGGUGAUCUGCCACCGCUAGAUGAACCUCCACUCAUCGGUGAGCUUCCACCAUCGGAUAAACCGCUCUUACCUUUCAAUUUACUUUUAAUCUUUGAUUUAACUUUAUCUAAGAUAGUGCUUUUACUCUUGGGUUUACCUCCAUCCUUGGGUGAACUUGCACCACUAGAUGAAUUUCCUUGGCCAUGUGAACUACCACCGCUUGGUGAACCUCCACUCAUCGGUGAGCUUCCACCACUAGAUGGACUACUCUUUCCUUUCAAUUUACUUUUAAUCUUGGAUUUAAGUUUAUCUACAAUAGUGCUUUUACCCUUGUGUUUACCUGUAUUUUUGGGUGAACUCGCACCGUUUGAUGAAUUUUCACUGACAGGUGAACUUCCACCGCUUGGUGAACCUUCACUCAUUUGUGAGCUUCCGCCACCGAAUGAACUACUCUUACCUUUUAGUUUACUUUUAAUCUUUGAUUUAACUUUAUCUAUGAUACUUUUUUUACCCUUGUGUUUACUUACGUCCUUAGGUGAACUUGCACUUCUCGAUGAAUUUCCACUACCAUGUGAGUUUCCACCGUUUGGUGAACUUCCACCACCAGAUGAACCACUAUUAUCUUUUAUUUUACUUUUAAUCUUGGAUUUUAUUUUAUCAAAAAUAGUUUUUUUUCCCUGGUGUUUACUUUCAUUUUUGGGUGUACUUCUACCGCUAGGUGAACUUCCACCGCUUGGUAAACUUCCACCAUCGGAUGAACCUCUCUUCCCUUUCAAUUUACUUUUAAUCUUUGAUUUAACUUUAUCUAAGAUAGUGCUUUUACCAUUGGGUUUACCUCCAGCCUUGGGUGAACUUUCACUGCUAGAUGAAUUUCCGUGGCCAGGUGAACUGCCACUGCUAAGUGAACCUCCACUCAUUGGUGAGCUUCCACCAUUGGAUGAACUGCUCUUACCUUUCAAUUUAUUUUUAAUCUUUGAUUUAACUUUAUCUAAGAUAUUGCUUUUACCCUUGGGUUCACCUCCAUCCUUGGAUGAACUUGCAGCGCUAGAUGUAUUUUCUUGGCCAGGUGAACUGCCACCGCUUGGUGAACCUCCACUCAUUGGUGAGCUUCCACCACUAGAUGGACCACUAUUUCCUUUCAAUUUAUUUUUAAUCUUGGAUUUAAGUUUAUCUACACUAGUGUUUUUAC